rnacentral:rRNA from 1 species
GUAGGGGGCGAGCGUUGUCCGGAUUUAUUGGGCGUAAAAGGCUUGUAGGUGGCCACGCGAAGUCGGAUGUGAAAUCUCCCGGCUCAACUGGGAGGGGUCAUUCGAUACUGGCGGGCUCGAGGCCGGUAGGGGGAAGCGGAAUUCCCGGUGUAGUGGUGGAAUGCGUAGAUAUCGGGAGGAACACCAGUGGCGAAGGCGGCUUCCUGGACCGGUUCUGACACUGAGGAGCGAAAGCGUGGGGAGCGAUCCGGAUUAGAUACCCGGGUAGUCCACGCCGUAAACGUUGGGCACUAGAUGUCGGGGGUAUCGACCCCUCCGGUGUCGCAGCUAACGCAUUAAGUGCCCUGCCUGGGGAGUACGGCCGCAAGGCUA